rnacentral:rRNA from 1 species
CAGCAGCCGCGGUAAUACGAAGGGUGCAAGCGUUAAUCGGAAUUACUGGGCGUAAAGCGUGCGUAGGCGGUGAGUUAAGUCUGCUGUGAAAUCCCCGGGCUCAACCUGGGAAUGGCAGUGGAUACUGGCUCGCUAGAGUGUGUCAGAGGAUGGUGGAAUUCCCGGUGUAGCGGUGAAAUGCGUAGAGAUCGGGAGGAACAUCAGUGGCGAAGGCAGCCAUCUGGCCUAAUACUGACGCUGAGGUACGAAAGCAUGGGGAGCAAACAGGAUUAGAUACCCCUGUAGUCCCUGUCUCUUAUAC